GCUGGGCAUGGUGGCGCGUGUCUGUAAUCCCAGCUACUCAGGAGGCUGAGGCAGGAGAAUCACUUGAACCCGGGGGGGCAGAGGUUGCAGUGAGCCGAGAUCGCGCCAUUGCAUUCCAGCCUGGGCAACAAGGGCGAAACUCCGUCUCAAAAAAAAAAAAAAUAGUAAUAAUACAAAAAAAAAAAUUAGCCAGGUGUGGUGGCACAUGCCUGUAGCCCCAGCCACUUGGGAUUCUGAGGCAGAAGAAUCACUUGAACCUAGGAGGUGGGAGUUGCAGUGACCCGAGAUCACGCCACUGCACUACAGCCUGGGUGACAGAGUGAGAUUCUGUCUCAA
rnacentral:SRP_RNA from 1 species